CAAGAAACAGUCCGGAGGAAAACAAUGAAAAUGCUGCCUCUGGGAAAGGAGAUGUGGUAUUAGUAAAGAGAAGGCAGAUUUUCUGGUUUUAGAUUUCUUGAAGAGAGGGAAAUCAAGUGGAUUUAUUAUGUGAAUGGAAUCUAACUUGGACCUGUGUCUAUGCACGUACACACCUAUGCAUACACACGUAUGUAUACUACAGAUACAUAUACAGCAGUGUUGUUGUGAUAUUCUCCAAGGAGAGUGACAAGUCCCUUAUCAGCCUUUCGGUUCCCGGGCUCACGUUCCUCUGACCUUCUUCUUACUUCUAGAAAUAAGCAGUGAAACAAAACAGCAGCCAAAAGGUCCUGGCAGAGGCUUCUGAAGACAGAAACUGUACAGUAGGUGUGGCGUGCCUCUCCUCUGGGUAAUAACACUGCAAGGCAGUUCAUCCUGGAAACAUCCUAGUCAGCCAGAGGCUGCUGGACCUGCCUGUCUCACAGCUCGGAGCCGUACCUGACGCAGCAUUCCAGGGCUGUGCUGCACUGGGGUUGUCCAGCCCCAAGCUCCCCCAGAGCCUUUCCUUUGGGAACAGCCUGCCAAAUCAAAGCUACCCCUAUUUGUAGUUAGCAGUGUGAGAUUUUUUGAAGAAAUGGAGCAG
rnacentral:lncRNA from 1 species